rnacentral:rRNA from 1 species
GUGGGGAAUCUUCCGCAAUGGACGAAAGUCUGACGGAGCAACGCCGCGUGAGUGAUGAAGGUCUUCGGAUUGUAAAGCUCUGUUAAUCGGGACGAAAGAGCCUAGUGUGAAUAAUGCUAGGAAGUGACGGUACCAGAAUAGAAAGCCACGGCUAACUACGUGCCAGCAGCCGCGGUAAUACGUAGGUGGCAAGCGUUGUCCGGAAUUAUUGGGCGUAAAGCGCGCGCAGGCGGAUCUGCCAGUCUGUCUUAAAAGUUCGGGGCUUAACCCCGUGAUGGGAUGGAAACUACAGAUCUAGAGUAUCGGAGAGGAAAGUGGAAUUCCUAGUGUAGCGGUGAAAUGCGUAGAUAUUAGGAAGAACACCAGUGGCGAAGGCGACUUUCUGGACGAAAACUGACGCUGAGGCGCGAAAGCCAGGGGAGCGAACGGGAUUAGAUACCCCGGUAGUCC